CAGCAGCCGCGGUAAUACGAAGGGUGCAAGCGUUAAUCGGAAUUACUGGGCGUAAAGCGUGCGUAGGUGGUGGUUUAAGUCCGUUGUGAAAGCCCUGGGCUCAACCUGGGAAUUGCAGUGGAUACUGGGUCACUAGAGUGUGGUAGAGGAUAGUGGAAUUUCCGGUGUAGCAGUGAAAUGCGUAGAGAUCGGAAGGAACAUCGGUGGCGAAGGCGACUAUCUGGGCCAACACUGACACUGAGGCACGAAAGCGUGGGGAGCAAACAGGAUUAGAUACCCCGGUAGUCCCUGUCUCUUAUAA
rnacentral:rRNA from 1 species